rnacentral:rRNA from 1 species
UACAGAGGGUGCGAGCGUUAAUCGGAAUUACUGGGCGUAAAGGGCGCGUAGGCGGCCUUCUAAGUCGGACGUGAAAUCCCUCGGCUUAACCGAGGAACUGCGUCCGAUACUGAAAGGCUUGAAUCCGGGAGAGGGAUGUGGAAUUCCAGGUGUAGCGGUGAAAUGCGUAGAUAUCUGGAGGAACACCGGUGGCGAAGGCGGCAUCCUGGACCGGCAUUGACGCUGAGGAGCGAAAGCCAGGGGAGCAAACGGG